UACGAACUGUGCAAACGUUAUUCGGAAUCACUGGGCUUAAAGCGCGUGUAGGCGGGACGGCACGUCGGUCGCUGAAAUCCCCCGGCUUAACCGGGGAACUGGCGUCGAUACGACCGCCCUGGAGGGGCGUAGGGGGACCUGGAACUUCCGGUGGAGCGGUGAAAUGCGUUGAGAUCGGAAGGAACGCCCGUGGCGAAAGCGAGGUCCUGGACGCCUACUGACGCUGAGACGCGAAAGCCAGGGGAGCGAACGGG
rnacentral:rRNA from 1 species